GAUGAACGCUGGCGGCGUGCCUAAUACAUGCAAGCCGAGCGAACGGACGAGAAGCUUGCUUCUCUGAUGUUAGCGGCGGACGGGUGAGUAACACGUGGAUAACCUACCUAUAAGACUGGGAUAACUUCGGGAAACCGGAGCUAAUACCGGAUGAUAUUUUGAACCGCAUGGUUCAAAAGUGAAAGACGGUCUUGCUGUCACUUAUAGAUGGAUCCGCGCUGCAUUAGCUAGUUGGUAAGGUAACGGCUUAUCAAGGCAACGAUGCAUAGCCGACCUGAGAGGGUGAUCGGCCACACUGGAACUGAGACACGGUCCAGACUCCUACGGGAGGCAGCAGUAGGGAAUCUUCCGCAAUGGGCGAAAGCCUGACGGAGCAACGCCGCGUGAGUGAUGAAGGUCUUCGGAUCGUAAAACUCUGUUAUUAGGGAAGAACAUAUGUGUAAGUAACUGUGCACAUCUUGACGGUACCUAAUCAGAAAGCCACGGCUAACUACGUG
rnacentral:rRNA from 1 species